UACGAAGGGGGCUAGCGUUGUUCGGAAUUACUGGGCGUAAAGCGCACGUAGGCGGAUACUUAAGUCAGGGGUGAAAUCCCGGGGCUCAACCCCGGAACUGCCUUUGAUACUGGGUAUCUCGAGUCCGGAAGAGGUGAGUGGAAUUCCGAGUGUAGAGGUGAAAUUCGUAGAUAUUCGGAGGAACACCAGUGGCGAAGGCGGCUCACUGGCUCAUUUCUGACGCUCAGGCGCGACAGCGUGGGGAUCAAACAGG
rnacentral:rRNA from 1 species